rnacentral:rRNA from 1 species
CUCCUACGGGAGGCAGCAGUGGGGAAUCUUGCACAAUGCGCGAAAGCGUGAUGCAGCAACGCCGCGUGGGGGAAGAAGGCCUUCGGGUUGUAAACCCCUUUCAGUUGGGACGAAGCUUCGCCGGUUAAUAGCCGGCUGGAGUGACGGUACCUUCAGAAGAAGCCCCGGCUAACUACGUGCCAGCAGCCGCGGUAAUACGUAGGGGGCUAGCGUUGUCCGGAAUCAUUGGGCGUAAAGCGCGUGUAGGCGGCCCGGUAAGUCCGCUGUGAAAGUCGGGGGCUCAACCCUCGAAUGCCGGUGGAUACUGUCGGGCUCGAGUACGGAAGAGGCGAGUGGAAUUCCUGGUGUAGCGGUGAAAUGCGCAGAUAUCAGGAGGAACACCAAUUGCGAAGGCAGCUCGCUGGGACGUUACUGACGCUGAGACGCGAAAGCGUGGGGAGCAAACAGGAUUAGAUACCCUGGUAGUCCACGCUGUAAACGAUGGGCACUAGGUGUGGGGGGUGUCGACUCCCUCCGUGCCGAAGCUAACGCAUUAAGUGCCCCGCCUGGGGAGUACGGCCGCAAGGCUAAAACUCAAAGGAAUUGACGG